CUUAGAAUUACAUCACCACCUUGCAAUAAGGUUCCAUAAAAAAAAAAAAUACAAAGAUUUGGGUUUGGUAAUUUUCUCACCGCACUUUUCUUAUUCCUUUCCAAAAAUUUUUAAUACAUCAAUAACUUAUUAAUUUGAAGUUCUUCCCUCUAACAUGGGAAAUGUGUCUCUUUCUGAGAAGAUGGAUGCUCCCCCCAAAAAUAAAGCAUGUGGAAGGUAAAUCGGUGUUUUUGGAUGGAUGCCUUGUUGGAAGAAAACAACAGGGUGGUCAGGCCAUUCUUACCUGACUUUCCCUUCUUCCACUUGAUACUCCACCUUCAGACGCAGGUGGAGUCCAAUUCUCAAUCAAUGGAAGGGCCCCUUACAGAGCUCCACCCGUAUUAGCAGAACAUGGACUGCCUGAUGCCUUUUAAAGAUAAGCUUCCUGCUGCCGCUUUGCAACGGUUUACAAGCUGCAACCCUUAUGAAAUGUACUUCCACAAGCACAUCUCAAGGUCUUGUUCAAGGUGUCCACAUGGCUGCACUCCUUCUGGGGGCUCAAGAGGACAGUCUCCUUGCAUCUUCCACCUUCUGGUGACUCCUUGGCUGUGACUGCAUCACUCCGAUCUCUGCAUGCUCACAUCACCUGCUCCUAUUCUGCAUGUAAUCUCCCUCUGCCUCUGUUUUAUAGGGACACUGGUGAUUCCCUUUAGGAGCCACCCGAAUAAGCCACGAUACUCUCUUCAUCUCAAGAUCCGUAACUCAAUCACAUUGGCAGAGUCUUUUACCAUGUAAGGGGGCAUUCGCUUGUUCCAGGGUCUAGGACCUGGAUAUCCUGGGAAGCCGUAAUCCAGACUACCACAGUCCUAUGGCCACACUUAGCUUUAUGCAGCAUCAGAAAUAAUAGUCUUUUGUGGAGUGCUAUAUUCCUAACACAAGUUAGCAUGUCUUAUUACUAAAGUUAGACUGGGAAUGGGUAUAGGGUUCCAAUCAGCCAUCCCUUCUUGAGAAAUUUCUUCAAAUUAAUGUGCUUUGAACCUUAGAGUAAAAAACUUCACAUCAUCAACUCUAAAUUAUAUAAUUUUUGGAGUAUUUGAAAUCCAAGACAAGUUGGACUGGAAGGAUAUUGUUUUUGCCUGACCACUGU